ensembl:lncRNA
CUGUAGCUGUAGAGCCCUGCAGAACUUUACGUUCGUUGGUCUUUUGUUGUUUUUUUGUUGUUUUUUUGUUGUUCAUGCAAAAAUAAAUGAAGAAGUACACUUUCCAAGCUGCGCUUUGGUCUUAUGCUGACGACGGACGUAACAAUAGCAGUGAGUACUGGGGUACCAGCCGGUUCUGGUGCCUUGACCGAGGUUCCUGCGGUGGACGACUGGUUCAGGCGCGCGGAGGAGACAUUGGAGGCUGUCCGUGUUCACCUUCAGCAGGCUGUGACUCGCCAAAAGGAGAACGCAGAUCGCCACCGCAGUAAGGCCCCGGUGUUCGGCUCUCGAAUCAAAACCUGCCCCUCCGCCUGCCCUGCCGGAAGCUGGGUCCGCGGUUUGUCCUGAGGAGAGUGAACAAGAAACACGUUGAUCUGACUGUGAUCUGACAACGGUGUCUGUGGUCUGACAGUGAAUGCACUAAUGGAGGAGGGGUCGAUGUCAGUGUAGGCAUAAUCGAAUACACUUGUCCCAAGAGCUGAGCAGCAGUACACUUUCUCUAUGGCCUGAGGGACUGCCACGGUCGUCAUAAAGAGGAGACCAAGCCUGCAGGUCCUCUCCAUGCAGCCUGACAUCCAGCCCCAGCCCUAGCAGUGCUCAGAACAGCAGCAGCCGGAUCAGCAGCAGCAGUGAGGCUUACGACAGCAUAGACAGCUGGAGCUCCGGGUCCACCUGCCUGCUCCACAGCUCCAUCAGUAAUCACAGCCAGGAGACCUUGCAGGCCAGACUCAGCAGCCCCAGCUCAGCCAGAGGACCUCACGGCAGAACUUGUGCAGACAGACUCCAGGGAGGGGCAUACUGCCUCGUGGGGCUACAUGAGGGGGCAGCACAGGCAG